rfam:Gossypium raimondii chromosome 12, whole genome shotgun sequence.
GCUGUCUUAGCUUAGUGGGUAGAGUGUGUGGCUUCUAACAUGUGGUAAUGGGUUUGAUUCUUAUAGAAGGCG